UGCCAGCAUGACAUGCCCCAGCUUAGUGUGGGCACUCGUGGUCUCCACCUGUCUUGGAUCCAGCAUGGCCCAGACAGUCACUCAGUCUGAAGCAGAGAAGUCUGUGCCGCGGGGAGAGACGGUGGCCCUGCCCUGCACGUAUGCCACUAGUAUGAAUUAUUAUUAUUUGUACUGGUACAAACAGACUCCCAGUGGGCAGAUGGUUCUCCUUAUUAGCCAAGGAUCUAAUGACCAACAGUCUACAAGAAGGAAUCGCUUCUCUGUGAACUUCCAGAAAGCAGCCAAAUCCUUCAGUUUCAAGAUCUCAAACUCACGGCUGGAGGACACCGCGACGUAUUUCUGUGCUUUGGCAGAGGACGCCCAGUGAGACAAACAGUAGGAAGGGGUUUACAAAAACCUCAGACCUCAGCGUCUGUGCAGAAAUCGG